rnacentral:rRNA from 1 species
CCUACGGGAGGCAGCAGUGGGGAAUAUUGGUCAAUGGGCGCAAGCCUGACCCAGCAACGCCGCGUGAAGGAAGAAGGCUUUCGGGUGUUAAACUUCUUUUGUCAGGGAAGAGUAGAAGACGGUACCUGACGAAUAAGCCACGGCUAACUACGUGCCAGCAGCAGCGGUAAUACGUAGGUGGCAAGCGUUGUCCGGAUUUACUGGUUGUAAAGGGCGUGUAGCCGGGUUGACAAGUCAGAUGUGAAAUCCUGCGGCGUAACCGCAGAACUGCAUUUGAAACUGUUGAUCUUGAGUACUGGAGAGGCAGAUGGAAUGCCUAGUGUAGCGGUGAAAUGCGUAGAUAUUAGGAGGAACACCAGUGGCGAAGGCGGUCUGCUGGACAGCAACUGACGGUGAGGCGCGAAAGCGUGGGGAGCAAACAGGAUUAGAUACCCCAGUAGUC